CCUACGGGUGGCAGCAGUGGGGAAUAUUGGACAAUGGGGGGAACCCUGAUCCAGCCAUGCCGCGUGUGUGAAGAAGGCCCUCGGGUUGUAAAGCACUUUCAGUGAGGAAGAACGCCUGGUGGUUAAUACCCAUCAGGAAAGACAUCACUCACAGAAGAAGCACCGGCUAACUCCGUGCCAGCAGCCGCGGUAAUACGGAGGGUGCGAGCGUUAAUCGGAAUUACUGGGCGUAAAGCGCGCGUAGGUGGCUUGAUAAGCCGGUUGUGAAAGCCCCGGGCUCAACCUGGGAACGGCAUCCGGAACUGUCAAGCUAGAGUGCAGGAGAGGAAGGUAGAAUUCCCGGUGUAGCGGUGAAAUGCGUAGAGAUCGGGAGGAAUACCAGUGGCGAAGGCGGCCUUCUGGACUGACACUGACACUGAGGUGCGAAAGCGUGGGUAGCACACAGGAUUAGAUACCCGGGUAGUC
rnacentral:rRNA from 1 species